rnacentral:rRNA from 1 species
CCCUUAGAUGUUCUGGGCCGCACGCGUGCUACACUGACCGGCGCAACAAGUUUCUUUCCUUGGCUCGAUAGGCCUGGGUAAUCUUUGAACGCCGGUCGUGAUGGGGAUAGAUCCUUGCAAUUUUUGAUCUUCAACGAGGAAUUCCUAGUAAAUGCGAGUCAUCACCUCGCGUUGAUUACGUCCCUGCCCUUUGUACACACCGCCCGUCGCACCUACCGAUUGAAUGGUCCGGUGAAGCCUCGGGAUUGCGAAUGCUUCGUGCGGACGCGAGAACUUGGCUAAACCUUACCAUUUAGAGGAAGGUGAANUCGUANCA